CAAGGCUGAGGCGUGAUGACGAGGCACUACGGUGCUGAAGCAACAAAUGCCCUGCUUCCAGGAAAAGCCUCUAAGCAUCAGGUAACAUCAAAUCGUACCCCAAACCGACACAGGUGGUCAGGUAGAGAAUACCAAGGCGCUUGAGAGAACUCGGGUGAAGGAACUAGGCAAAAUGGUGCCGUAACUUCGGGAGAAGGCACGCUGACACGUAGGUGAAGUGAUUUACUCAUGGAGCUGAAGUCAGUCGAAGAUACCAGCUGGCUGCAACUGUUUAUUAAAAACACAGCACUGUGCAAACACGAAAGUGGACGUAUACGGUGUGACGCCUGCCCGGUGCCGGAAGGUUAAUUGAUGGGGUCAGCGCAAGCGAAGCUCCUGAUCGAAGCCCCGGUAAACGGCGGCCGUAACUAUAACGGUCCUAAGGUAGCGAAAUUCCUUGUCGGGUAAGUUCCGACCUGCACGAAUGGCGUAAUGAUGGCCAGGCUGUCUCCACCCGAGACUCAGUGAAAUUGAACUCGCUGUGAAGAUGCAGUGUACCCGCGGCAAGACGGAAAGACCCCGUGAACCUUUACUAUAGCUUGACACUGAACAUUGAGCCUUGAUGUGUAGGAUAGGUGGGAGGCUUUGAAGCGUGGACGCCAGUCUGCGUGGAGCCGACCUUGAAAUACCACCCUUUAAUGUUUGAUGUUCUAACGUGGACCCGUAAUCCGGGUUGCGGACAGUGUCUGGUGGGUAGUUUGACUGGGGCGGUCUCCUCCUAAAGAGUAACGGAGGAGCACGAAGGUUGGCUAAUCCUGGUCGGACAUCAGGAGGUUAGUGCAAUGGCAUAAGCCAGCUUGACUGCGAGCGUGACGGCGCGAGCAGGUGCGAAAGCAGGUCAUAGUGAUCCGGUGGUUCUGAAUGGAAGGGCCAUCGCUCAACGGAUAAAAGGUACUCCGGGGAUAACAGGCUGAUACCGCCCAAGAGUUCAUAUCGACGGCGGUGUUUGGCACCUCGAUGUCGGCUCAUCACAUCCUGGGGCUGAAGUAGGUCCCAAGGGUAUGGCUGUUCGCCAUUUAAAGUGGUACGCGAGCUGGGUUUAGAACGUCGUGAGACAGUUCGGUCCCUAUCUGCCGUGGGCGCUGGAGAACUGAGGGGGGCUGCUCCUAGUACGAGAGGACCGGAGUGGACGCAUCACUGGUGUUCGGGUUGUCAUGCCAAUGGCACUGCCCGGUAGCUAAAUGCGGAAGAGAUAAGUGCUGAAAGCAUCUAAGCACGAAACUUGCCCCGAGAUGAGUUCUCCCUGAGACUUAGAGUCUCCUGAAGGAACGUUGAAGACGACGACGUUGAUAGGCCGGGUGUGUAAGCGCAGCGAUGCGUUGAGCUAACCGGUACUAAUGAACCGUGAGGCUUAACCUUACAACGCCGAAG
rnacentral:rRNA from 1 species